rnacentral:rRNA from 1 species
ACUCAAAGGAAUUGACGGGGGCCCGCACAAGCGGAGGAACAUGUGGUUUAAUUCGAUGAUACGCGAGGAACCUUACCUGGGUUUAAAUGGGGAGUGGCAGGUGUCGAAAGAUGCUUUUCCUUCGGGACACUCUUCAAGGUGCUGCAUGGUUGUCGUCAGCUCGUGCCGUGAGGUGUCGGGUUAAGUCCCAUAACGAGCGCAACCCUUGCCGAUAGUUGCCAUCACGUAAAGGUGGGCACUCUAUCGGGACUGCCGGUGUAAACCGUGAGGAAGGUGGGGAUGACGUCAAAUCAGCACGGCCCUUACAUCCAGGGCUACACACGUGUUACAAUGGCCAGUACAGAGGGCCGCUACCCCGCGAGGGGAUGCCAAUCUCGAAAGCUGGUCUCAGUUCGGAUUGAAGUCUGGAACCCGACUUCAUGAAGCCGGAUUCGCUAGUAAUCGCGCAUCAGCCACGGCGCGGUGAAUACGUUCCCGGGCCUUGUACACACCGCCCGU